AUAGAAGAUAGAGGCGCACUUGUUAUUAGUACUUGAGAAAAGGGGUAAAGCACCCACAAGGAAAGGAACAAUUGCCGAAGCAUACAAACAGCUUUAGGUUUGUAUUGCUGGGGGUACGUAGAAUAUGCGUAUCACUGUCACAAGUAUCUUGUGUUGGGCUAUCAUUUGA
rfam:Peptostreptococcus stomatis DSM 17678 contig00006, whole genome shotgun sequence.